CCUACGGGUGGCAGCAGCUAAGAAUAUUCCGCAAUGGAGGAAACUCUGACGGAGCAACGCCGCGUGGACGAUGAAGGCCGGAAGGUUGUAAAGUCCUUUUAUAAUUGAGGAAUAAGCGGGACAGGGAAUGGUUCCGCGGUGACUGUAGAUUAUGAAUAAGCACCGGCUAAUUACGUGCCAGCAGCCGCGGUAACACGUAAGGUGCGAGCGUUAUUCGGAAUUAUUGGGCGUAAAGGGCACGCAAGCGGCUUUGCAAGCUUGGUGUGAAAUCUCAGGGCUCAACCCUGAAACUGCAUUGAGAACUGCAUGGCUAGAGUUAGUGAGGGGAAACCGGAAUUCCAGGUGUAGGGGUGAAAUCUGUAGAUAUCUGGAAGAACACCAAUGGCGAAGGCAGGUUUCCAGCACAUAACUGACGCUCAGGUGCGAAGGUGCGGGGAUCAAACAGGAUUAGAUACCCGUGUAGUC
rnacentral:rRNA from 1 species